rnacentral:rRNA from 1 species
AGUGAACGCUGGCGGCAGGCCUAACACAUGCAAGUCGAGCGGCAGCGGGUCCUUCGGGAUGCCGGCGAGCGGCGGACGGGUGAGGAAUACAUCGGAAUCUGCCCUGUCGUGGGGGAUAACCUAGGGAAACUUAGGCUAAUACCGCAUACGACCUACGGGUGAAAGCGGGGGAUCGCAAGACCUCGCGCGACAGGAUGAGCCGAUGUCCGAUUAGCUAGUUGGCGGGGUAAGGGCCCACCAAGGCGACGAUCGGUAGCUGGUCUGAGAGGAUGAUCAGCCACACUGGGACUGAGACACGGCCCAGACUCCUACGGGAGGCAGCAGUGGGGAAUAUUGGACAAUGGGCGCAAGCCUGAUCCAGCCAUGCCGCGUGGGUGAAGAAGGCCUUCGGGUUGUAAAGCCCUUUUGUCCGGGAAGAAAUCGUCUGGGCUAAUACCCCGGGCGGAUGACGGUACCGGAAGAAUAAGCACCGGCUAACUUCGUG